GUUAAAACCCAAGGGGCGCCAGUCCCCUGACCCAGGGCUUGCCCUGGUGUUCAGGUCUGGCGGGGUAGGCUCCGGCCUGCCUGGUUAAUUAUAACAAACCUUUAACACACACCAAACCUCAAACCAAACUGAAGCUUUUGGAAGGGAGGCUUUCAGCCCCCAUCCACAAACCAAAGACAACUCUCAACAACGGAUAUCUUGGCUCCCGUAUCGAUGAAGAACGCAGCGAAAUGCGAUACGUAGUGUGAAUUGCAGAAUUCCGUGAACCAUCGAAUCUUUGAACGCAAAUUGCGCCCGCGGCCUCGGCUAAGGGCAUGUAUGCCUCAGCGUCGGUUUACACCCCUCGCUCCUUUUUACUGGGAGCGGAUCUGGCAGUAUCAGUCGCCCUUUAUUGGGCUGUCUGGGUCUGAUGAAGUGCAGAGGUUUGAGCAUGGACUCCGUUUGCAGGGCAAUAGCUUGUUAGGUAGGCGUCAGCCUGCAUUAGCCUGCUGUUGCCUGAGGGGACUUUGUUGGGAGCCUAGCAGGAAUUGGGUUUGGCUUAGGCCUUCCCUAACUCUCUCAUUCGACCUGAGCUCC
rnacentral:rRNA from 1 species